rnacentral:lncRNA from 1 species
CGGGGGACUCACGGCGAGGAGAGAGGAAGAGAACCAACGGAAAGAGAAAGGAGAGGGAGAGGGAGAGAGAGGAGGCGUGAGAGAAGAAGAGAGAAGAGGAAAAGGGAAGCUUGACGGCUAGGGUUUUCUAGUCUCUCUAAAUCUCUGCAGAGCUUCGCUCUAGUUUCAGAAUGAGAGAAAAAUGAGAGGAGGCAGCUUUAUUUAUAGGAAAAGGAGGGAACCCUAGGUCAUUUACCCUAAUGGGCUGCAGUCUUAACGGGCUCUCCUUAAGAAAAUUUUUGGGCUAGGAACCGGGCCGUUACAAUUCUCCCCUGUUAAUCGGAAUUCGUCCCCGAAUUCCAAGCCCUAGACUUCCAAACUUAACAUCCGAUAACAAAAGGAACUCACACAAUCACACAUCAUACAAGGGAGGCACACAAGGCGAGAACAACUUUGCUCGGGGAUCUUUUAAAAACCAAUGAAUGAAUUAAGCUCAAAAAGAAAUUUUGCAAAUACAAUGGAUCCGAUCAAAAUCAUAAUAACGUAUAGAUAUAAUGGGUGGUUUUGAAAUCAUUUCCAGGAGUGUUAGAAGAAACAAAACUUUUACAAACUCUUUUCUUUUAAUGAAAACAAGUUUUUUUUUUUUUUUUUUUUUUUUUUUUUUUUUUUUCGAAAACGUCGGAAAUGCUGAUCCCUUAGGACAGAACUAAGGGAUCUUAACCCGCUCUGAUACCAAUUGUAACAGCCCGAUUCCCCGGAGUCCGACCGGGGUUAUCGAAGGGGCGUUAUGGACACGUGUCUACUCAUCUAGACAACCCUACGUGUCCCGUUACUGGUCCCGAGAGACGAGCGCAUAACCUUCUUUGAAAUACCGUCAUACCCACAUCCAUAUACUUCUACUUACAGUCCUGCGCACAGGAAAAAUGGAAAUGGAGGGGUGAGCAACAAGUUACUCAGUGAAGUGGUUCUAGACCAGCCUGCCCGCAUGACACUCUAUACUACUCCAUGCGGGAACUAGGACUGACUAGCCACUACAAUCAGUUAAUGCAUUUUCAUCAUUUCCUAAUGUUAUCUGCAAUUUCCACAAUCACUUCCAUUCAUUUCUAACAACCUAGCGAUCAAUCAAUACAAUGAUCUCACUCAUUGCCACACACGUCAAACCCUAGACUUAACCGACUCCUCUUGUCCGUCCGACCCGACCCUAUGACACCUUUAACUCCCCGUUACCCGACCAUGAGCUAAAACCCUACAAUGCACAUCCUUUUCAACUUCUCAUCUUUUCCUCUUUUCCUCUUUUCCUCUUUUCCUCAGUGGGUAGCCCCCCACUAGGCUUCUACCCCAUAUUCAUGUGGAUUCGCCACAUCUCCUAUGGGUGCUUCCAUAUUCAUGUGGAUUCGCCACAUCUCCUAUGGAUACCUAGCUUGGACCACUUACCCCACCUACAAACCUUAGACUCUCUAUAUGCUUUCCCACCCAUGCUUAACCUUAACAUCCUUCUUUCAUACUUUUACUUAUCAUUUCACUUCCUUAUCGUUUUCACUUAAUCCUCCCCAUUCCCAAUUACUUUCCCUUUUCAUUCAUACUUGAACUUGGACUAAAUCACUAGACGCCACCCGUUAUCGGUGUCACACACAAUACACAUCGCAUUCAAGUUCUACUUCAAUAACGUUUAUAAUCAUUGCUCAUCUAUCAUCCUAGCAUUUGUUCCUCUCUAGCAUCCUAACUUCAAUCACAACAACACAUGGGACAACACAACCAAACAUACAAGUAUCAACUACCAAUCAAUCAUUACCACGACAAUUCAAUUCAGUUCAUCAAGUCCCAUUUAUCAGUAUGAGGGUUCUUAUGCAUCAUGAUUCAUUCAUCUAUCAUCCUAGCAAUACCAUGUCCUAUCAACCUAACUCCCAAUCAGGGUCUAAUCAAGCCUAACUCCAACAUAAAGGAGUAUACAGAACCAUGAAAGAAGGUUGGGUUCGAAACACUCCACCUUAGCCUAGAUCUGGAUCUGGAUCUGGAACAGGAGACAAAGGGGAUGAGAUCUGAACAGAUCUGGAACAAGUAAACAAGAGAGACGAGAUCUGGUCACCACCACAACACCACACAUCCACCACCAUCACCACACUCGGACGAUCACCCCAUCACCACUUGGACGACCACCACCACCACCACCGGCGGCUCGGCUUGCUCUCGGGGGACUCACGGCGAGGAGAGAGGAAGAGAACCAACGGAAAGAGAAAGGAGAGGGAGAGGGAGAGAGAGGAGGCGUGAGAGAAGAAGAGAGAAGAGGAAAAGGGAAGCUUGACGGCUAGGGUUUUCUAGUCUCUCUAAAUCUCUGCAGAGCUUCGCUCUAGUUUCAGAAUGAGAGAAAAAUGAGAGGAGGCAGCUUUAUUUAUAGGAAAAGGAGGGAACCCUAGGUCAUUUACCCUAAUGGGCUGCAGUCUUAACGGGCUCUCCUUAAGAAAAUUUUUGGGCUAAGAAAAAUUUUUUUUUUUUUUUUUGGAACGCAACUUUUAUAAAUUUUAAAAUGGGUUAUGCAGUAGAAACUGCUACACGGUUCA